AUUGAACGCUGGCGGCAGGCCUAACACAUGCAAGUCGAACGAGUGGCGGACGGGUGAGUAAUGUCUGGGAAACUGCCUGAUGGAGGGGGAUAAUUACUGGAAACGGUAGCUAAUACCGCUAACCAUCGUAUGUGCCCAGAUGGGAUUAGCUAGUAGGUUGGGUAAAGGCUCACGUAGACGCCGAUCCCUAGCUGGUCUGAGAGGAUGACCAGCCACACUGAAACGGAUACACGGUCCAGACUCCUACGGGAGGCAGCAGUGAGGCAUAUUGCACAAUGGGCGCAAGCCUGAUGCAGCCAUUCCGCGUGUAUGAAGAAGGCCUUCAGGUUGUAAAGUACUUUCAGCGGGGAGGCGUUACCCGCAGAAGAAGCACCGGCUAACUCCGUGCCAGCAGCCGCGGUAAUAC
rnacentral:rRNA from 1 species